GAUGAACGCUGGCGGCGUGCCUAAUACAUGCAAGUAGAACGCUGAAGGAAGGAGCUUGCUCUUUCCGGAUGAGUUGCGAACGGGUGAGUAACGCGUAGGUAACCUGCCUGGUAGCGGGGGAUAACUAUUGGAAACGAUAGCUAAUACCGCAUAACAGUAGAUGUUGCAUGAUAUCUACUUAAAAGGUGCAAUUGCACCACUACCAGAUGGACCUGCGUUGUAUUAGCUAGUUGGUGAGGUAACGGCUCACCAAGGCGACGAUACAUAGCCGACCUGAGAGGGUGAUCGGCCACACUGGGACUGAGACACGGCCCAGACUACUGCGGGAGGCAGCAGUAGGGAAUCUGCGGCAAUGGACGGAAGUCUGACCGAGCAACGCCGCGUGAGUGAAGAAGGUUGUCGAAUCGUAAAGCUCGGUUGUAAGAGAAGAACGAGUGUGAGAGUGGAAAGUUCACACUGUGACGGUAUCUGACCAGAAAGGGACGGCUAACUACGUG
rnacentral:rRNA from 1 species